CCAAUCUUUCAAGGUUGAUAGAAAAAGUAUUCAUAAUUUCAAUUGUAAAAGCAAAAAAUUACUUCUCUCCUCAUUCAAAAUGAGCUUGAAAAGACAAAAAAGACAACGCCUCGAAACGGAAAGUUACAAAUGGGUCACUAAACAACUUUUUUUUAUUUAAUAUUCUGAAAGUACUAAGUGAGUAGAUUAACUGGUGAUUUUCUCGCAUUUUUUUGGAGCCGAAAUCCCGGAGAAAACCGCAUUUGAAAAAGCGCAACUUCUACGCAAAUUUAAAACGCUCUGGAAUGGCGGGCAAAUGACGUUGUUGAAAUACUACGGUAGUCAAAUCGAUGUCUAACUCAAAGUUUCGCAGAACGCCACGGGUAGCGCCGCCGCGCCGCAGCUACAUCAAGCAACAGGUGAUAACCACUUUUCACGUAAAUAAACAAACCAACGUGAUCGCUAGCUAUGGCUAUGUGUUUUGUGCCGGGGUGUGAAAACAGUGAAAGUGCAAGUGGUAAACACUUUUUUAGUGUGCCACGAAAUGAAAGGCGAUAUGACUGGUUCCGGGCCGUGGGGAAGAAUGACGGCAACAUUUCCCUCACCAGAAAUCUGGUCUGCUGCCAAGACCAUUUCAUCCUUGACUCUGAUGUGGAAGGUUAUCACAUGUCCAAUUUGUUGUUGUCGAGUGGUUUCAAGACAAAGUUGAAAUUGAAAAGGAUGUCCUCCCACGCAUGUCAAUUUUGAAUGUCAACGUGGAACCUGUUGAACUCCCGGAGACUCCUUUCCAGCCCUUGCUUUCUAAGACCCUCACAAAUCCGGAUGUAUUACCCGAUGCAAAAUCAUCGAAAACCAUUGGUUGUCAGGUUAAUGUGCGCCCUAAUUUCAGAUCGGUCAAACUCCAAGUUAGGCCCCUGACAGCCUCAGCUGAGUGUCAAACAGACUUAGCGCGGAGUCCUCCUCCCAAAGUCUUGACUGCCUCUUGCCACAAUGAAGAAAAUCUUCCCCCAAAAGCCUCCAAAGGAAAGAAGAGACAGUAUGAUGAAUCAAACAACAGUUCCUCAAAUCCAUCUCAAUCAUCCCACUCAGAUUACAUUCCCAGCCAAAAUCGAAAGCCUCUACGACUAGUACGUCCGAAUCUCUUAAAGAAUAUUCUG
rnacentral:lncRNA from 1 species